UGCCGGUGGAGGGUCAGCCCCAGAAACUAUUGGCCUGGACUUGCGGGGUCUUUUCUGGAGACCAGACUUUUCUUCCCAUAAGCCCGUCAUCAAAACAGGUGAUUUGCAUACCUCCUGCUUGGAACGGCCAGAUUAUAACAGCAGGGAGAAAGUUGUCUUGCUCUGCCUGAAGUGCUGGUAGUCUGGCCUGUAAGAAAUGAAUCUUCAUUGAAUCCUCAUGAAGAUGAUAUUGCUGCCCUGUAUAGCCAUGAAGUUACAACCGCCAUUGGACCUACUCACUAAUUUUAAUGUAAAAUUAUUAAUACUUGGGAACAAAAUCCAUCAUACUGUGUAAUCCAUCAUAGUGUGUCCAGAUUCAUUAGGGUAAGGUGUGUCAUCAGAAGGAGAAGCUUCUUUGCUGGUAUCCCAGCUUAAUUUUUCUAUGGGUUAAGAUGCAGUUUUUAGAAUGCAGUGUUACUGAAUAAUUCUGAAGUUUAGAAAAAAAAAAAUUAGUUGGGGGUAGCUGCUCUGUCUACCUCAACUGUCUCAUUAUACUCACAUGUAUCUUAGAAUUUCUCUAAAAUACUAAACAAAACUAUGUAUUUGAUAUAUAAUUUCUUUUGAGGCUGAAACCAUCUCACUACUGUACCUUUGCAGAGUGCCUGGAAAAAUGGGCCUGGGGCUUCUAAAUGCCCCUGUAACACAAAUAAUACAGAGCCGUUACAAUAUGCGCUUUAAGAGCUGGCAGAACCACAAAAACAGACCCACUAGGUCACACAAAGCCUGACAAUCUGUUUAUAAUUUAGCCACUUAAACCUAAGCAUAGCACAAUUUUAUCUUUGUGAGUGGUCUACAAGAAUAUUUUGCCUUGAUACAUGUCUAUUUUGGGGCAAAACAUAGUUUAUAGAUAGUGUAAUUGUG